rnacentral:lncRNA from 10 species
AAUUUUUAAAUGAGACAAAAUAUCAAUUUCAAAACAGCAUUAAAAAAAGUGAGCAUAAUUAUUCAUACUCAGCUCAUAAUAGAGCAAAUGGGUGAAUAGAAUAAUAAUUCAUGCUAUUACAUGUUUAAUGAACUGGCAGCAAGAGAAAACUGGUCAAAGAAAGGCAGAGGAAACUGGCAACAAGAGGAAAAUUGGUCAAAGAAAGGCAGGGAAACUUUGUCUUGUAAGAAUUAGAACCCAAGGACUCCAUAAUCAUCUGGCAUUCAUUCGAUGUUAUAUCUAUGGUUAGAAAUGUACGUGAUAGGAACUCCCAGAAUCUUACAGAUUCUUCUUUUAGGGUCCUGGUCAACCGUGGCCACAAUGUACCAUUUGUGCUGAGUUUCUCUCUGUACUAAGCAGUCAUCUGCAUAGGUUCCUUUGUGUGUGCAUGGUAAUCAUUCAAACCUUGGAUCCUUGGAGAUUCUUAGAGCCACUCAAUACUUCUGCCCCAAUUUCUCAAUUUCAGCCAUUACACAAUCAGUUAUAUAAGGGAUACACGUGGCCUACAGACAGUCCGUCAUUGACUGCACUAAGUCUGGUUUGGCUUUAAUGGAAAAGUUGAUAAAGUUGGAAUCAACAAGAAUGUGGUAAGGUGGCCCAGCUGUGUAUUAUAUUGGAAAAAUAAGCAGGAAGGGUGUUGAGGAACUUCUCUUUCCUUUAGUAUGUUGGAAUCUUUCUUUUCUUCCUUUUUAGGUUUUAAUCUAUCCCUUUCUUCAAGCCUCUGAUCUCUGAGACUAAGCAUUGGCUUCAUGGUCGCAUAAUUCCUUGAUUUCUUUUGCCUCUGCACACUCACAUCACACUCUUGUUUCUUCCGGAAUCCCAUCUUAGCCUUUUUUUUUGUUUGAGACGGAAUCUCACUCUGUCACCCAGGCUGGAGUGCAGUGGCAUGAUCUCAUCUCGCUGCAACCUCUGCCUCCCGGGUUCAAUUGAUUCUUCUGCCGCAGCCUCCCGAGUACCUGGGGCUAUAGGCAUGCGACACCACGCCCGGCUAAUUUUUGUAUUUUUAGUAGAGACAGGGUUUCACCAUAUUGGCCAGGCUGGUCUUGAACUCCUGACCUCAGGUGAUCCGCCCACCUCAGACUCCCAAAGUGCUGGGAUUACAGGUGUGAGCCCGGCCCAUCUUAGCCAUUUUAAGUAUACAGUUCAGUGGUGUAAAGUACA